GACAGAGGCCUCGAGCGUUAGGCGGAAUCACUGGGCUUAAAGCGUGUGUAGGCGGGCGGGCAAGUACCUUGUGAAAUCCCACGGCUCAACCGUGGAACGGCUGGGUAUACUGCCUGUCUUGAGCCAGCUAGGGGCGACCGGAACAGACGGUGGAGCGGUGAAAUGCGUAGAUAUCGUCUGGAACGCCAAAGGUGAAAACAGGUCGCUGGGGCUGAGCUGACGCUGAGACACGAAAGCCAGGGGAGCGAACGGG
rnacentral:rRNA from 1 species